UUUGCUUUCGUAUCAGACAUGUGUCGUAUUUUCCUGUUCUUGCUCUUUGUUGGAAUUUUGUCCAUCAACGGAAUUGUGGCGGAGACUUGUUCGUGCAAAUUCUCCUGUUCAUCGGCAGAAAUCAAGCGAUCGAAGUGCAAAGAACCCAGUAUAGUAUCUCCCGCCAUGUACUGGUGUUGCAAGUAAAUGUGUGUAGAAAUACCAGUUUCCUUGCAUUUACGCAAGCUGUAUAACAUAUGUUAGCGUUAAAAAUAAUAAAUGUUUACUAAGA